UACACUCCUGCGGGAGGCAGCAGUGGGGAAUAUUGGACAAUGGGCGCAAGCCUGAUCCAGCCAUGCCGCGUGAGUGAUGAAGGCCCUAGGGUUGUAAAGCUCUUUCACCGGUGAAGAUAAUGACGGUAACCGGAGAAGAAGCCCCGGCUAACUUCGUGCCAGCAGCCGCGGUAAUACGAAGGGGGCUAGCGUUGUUCGGAUUUACUGGGCGUAAAGCGCACGUAGGCGGACUAUUAAGUCAGGGGUGAAAUCCCGGGGCUCAACCCCGGAACUGCCUUUGAUACUGGUAGUCUUGAGUUCGAGAGAGGUGAGUGGAAUUCCGAGUGUAGAGGUGAAAUUCGUAGAUAUUCGGAGGAACACCAGUGGCGAAGGCGGCUCACUGGCUCGAUACUGACGCUGAGGUGCGAAAGCGUGGGGAGCAAACAGGAUUAGAUACCCGGGUAGUCCCAUG
rnacentral:rRNA from 1 species